UACGAAGGGGGCUAGCGUUGCUCGGAAUCACUGGGCGUAAAGGGUGCGUAGGCGGGUCUUUAAGUCAGGGGGGAAAUCCUGGAGCUCAACUCCAGAACUGCCUUUGAUACUGAGGAUCUUGAGUUCGGGAGAGGUGAGUGGAACUGCGAGUGUAGAGGUGAAAUCCGUAGAUAUUCGCAAGAACACCAGUGGCGAAGGCGGCUCACUGGCCCGAUACUGACGCUGAGGCACGAAAGCGUGGGGAGCAAACAGG
rnacentral:rRNA from 1 species